AUUGAACGCUGGCGGCAGGCCUAACACAUGCAAGUCGAGCGGAUGAAGGGAGCUUGCUCCUGGAUUCAGCGGCGGACGGGUGAGUAAUGCCUAGGAAUCUGCCUGGUAGUGGGGGAUAACGUCCGGAAACGGGCGCUAAUACCGCAUACGUCCUGAGGGAGAAAGUGGGGGAUCUUCGGACCUCACGCUAUCAGAUGAGCCUAGGUCGGAUUAGCUAGUUGGUGGGGUAAAGGCCUACCAAGGCGACGAUCCGUAAUUGGUCUGAGAGGAUGAUCAGUCACACUGGAACUGAGACACGGUCCAGACUCCUACGGGAGGCAGCAGUGGGGAAUAUUGGACAAUGGGCGAAAGCCUGAUCCAACCAUGCCGCGUGUGUGAAGAAGGUCUUCGGAUUGUAAAGCACUUUAAGUUGGGAGGAAGGGCAGUAAGUUAAUACCUUGCUGUUUUGACGUUACCAACAGAAUAAGCACCGGCUAACUUCGUG
rnacentral:rRNA from 1 species